rnacentral:rRNA from 1 species
UACGUAGGGAGCAAGCGUUAUCCGGAUUUAUUGGGUGUAAAGGGUGCGUAGACGGGAAGGUAAGUUAGUUGUGAAAUCCCUCGGCUCAACUGAGGAACUGCGACUAAAACUGCUUUUCUUGAGUGCUGGAGAGGAAAGUGGAAUUCCUAGUGUAGCGGUGAAAUGCGUAGAUAUUAGGAGGAACACCAGUGGCGAAGGCGACUUUCUGGACAGUAACUGACGUUGAGGCACGAAAGUGUGGGGAGCAAACAGGAUUAGAUACCCUGGUAGUCCACACCGUAAACGAUGGAUACUAGGUGUAGGGGAUAUUAAGUCUUCUGUGCCGUCGCAAACGCAGUAAGUAUCCCACCUGGGGAGUACGGCCGCAAGGUUGAA